rnacentral:rRNA from 1 species
UGGGGAAUAUUGGACAAUGGGGGCAACCCUGAUCCAGCAAUGCCGCGUGUGUGAAGAAGGUCUUCGGAUUGUAAAGCACUUUCGACGGGGACGAUGAUGACGGUACCCGUAGAAGAAGCCCCGGCUAACUUCGUGCCAGCAGCCGCGGUAAUACGAAGGGGGCUAGCGUUGCUCGGAAUGACUGGGCGUAAAGGGCGUGUAGGCGGUUUACACAGUCAGAUGUGAAAUCCCCGGGCUUAACCUGGGAGCUGCAUUUGAUACGUGUAGACUAGAGUGUGAGAGAGGGUUGUGGAAUUCCCAGUGUAGAGGUGAAAUUCGUAGAUAUUGGGAAGAACACCGGUGGCGAAGGCGGCAACCUGGCUCAUGACUGACGCUGAGGCGCGAAAGCGUGGGAGCAACAGGUUAGAUA